GACGAACGCUGGCGGCGUGCUUAACACAUGCAAGUCGAACGGAAGGCCCUGCUUGCAGGGUACUCGAGUGGCGAACGGGUGAGUAACACGUGGGUGAUCUGCCCUGCACUUCGGGAUAAGCCUGGGAAACUGGGUCUAAUACCGGAUAGGAGCCAUUUUUAGUGUGAUGGUUGGAAAGUUUUUUCGGUGUAGGAUGAGCUCGCGGCCUAUCAGCUUGUUGGUGGGGUAAUGGCCUACCAAGGCGGCGACGGGUAGCCGGCCUGAGAGGGUGGACGGCCACAUUGGGACUGAGAUACGGCCCAGACUCCUACGGGAGGCAGCAGUGGGGAAUAUUGCACAAUGGGCGCAAGCCUGAUGCAGCGACGCCGCGUGGGGGAUGACGGCCUUCGGGUUGUAAACUCCUUUCGCUAGGGACGAAGCUUUUUGUGACGGUACCUAGAGAAGAAGCACCGGCUAACUACGUG
rnacentral:rRNA from 1 species